rnacentral:rRNA from 1 species
GAUGAACGCUGGCGGCGUGCUUAACACAUGCAAGUCGAACGGAAAGGCCCAAGCUUGCUUGGGUACUCGAGUGGCGAACGGGUGAGUAACACGUGGGUGAUCUGCCCUGCACUUCGGGAUAAGCCUGGGAAACUGGGUCUAAUACCGGAUAGGACCACUUCUUGGAUGUUGUGGUGGAAAGGUUUUUCGUUGUGGGAUGAGCUCGCGGCCUAUCAGCUUGUUGGUGGGGUAGUGGCCUACCAAGGCGUCGACGGGUAGCCGGCCUGAGAGGGUGUACGGCCACAUUAGGACUGAGAUACGGGCCAGACUCCUACGGGAGGCAGCAGUGGGGAAUAUUGCACAAUGGGCGCAAGCCUGAUGCAGCGACGCCGCGUGGGGGAUGACGGCCUUCGGGUUGUAAACUCCUUUCGCUAGGGACGAAGCGUUUUUGUGACGGUACCUGGAGAAGAAGCACCGGCUAACUACGUG